UGACUUGAGAUACAUAUAAGGAAGAACAGAAUAUAUUGCUUUUCGGGACAAGUGAAGGAGAAUGACUUUUACGAAUAUCAAUGAGAAAGAGAGUUAGAGGUCAGAGGUCACUGCUUUUCAUGGACAUAAGAGAUUUGACUUGAGAUACUUGUAGGGAAGAACAGAAUAUAUAUUGCUUUACGGAGGAAGUGAGGGAGAAUGACUUAGAGGAAUAUCAAUGAGAAAGAGAGUUAGAGGUCAGAGGUCAUUGCUUUUCACGGACAUGAAGGACCGUGAUGAGAUAAUUACAAAGAACUGAAUAUUAUGGGGGAAGUGAAAGAGAGGGACUUGAGGGAAUAGCAAAGGGGAGUUAGAGGUCAGUAGAGGUCAUUGCUUUUCAUGGACAUUAAGAACAGUGACUUGAAAUAAUUAUAUGGAAGAUGAACAGAAUAUUUUGCUUCUUAGGGCACAUGAAGGAGAAUGACUUAAUGAAAUAGCAGAGAAAAGGAGUUAAUGCUUUUCAAGAACAUAAAGGACCGUGACUUGACAAUUAUAGGGAAGAACAAGUGAAUAUUUAGCCUUUCAUGAAGUGAGGAAUGGCAAAAGAUGGGUACUGGAUAUAUGAUUUUAAGAACAGCAAAUUUAUGAAAAACAGCAAAUUUGAAUCAGAAAAGAACAGCAGCAAAGUAGAGAAGAGUGACUAGAUUUAUGGUAAGAAAGGAGGCAGGAGAGGGGUGAAGCGCAUUGCAAUUCAAGGGUAUGUUUGUGAGGGACUGAAAGAAGGGUCACUUUGAGGAUUCAUGGUUCAAUCUUUGUUUCUUUUCUUGCGCUGGAGGACAGUAAAAAAAAAAAAAAAGAAAGAGGCUUACGGGCAUAAAGGAAACUGAGGGUAUGUCUGGUUAAGAGGGAGUGACAGGAGGGGUGAUUUUAAAGAUAUAUAAUUCAACCUUUGUAUUUCUUUUCUCGCAAUAGAGGACAUUAACAAAGAGGCUUACAGGCAUAAAGGAAACUGAGGGUAUGUCUGGUUAAGAGGGGUGAAAAGAGGGGUGACUUUGAAGACAUAUGAUUCAACCUUUGUAUGUGUUUUCUUGCGUUGUCGGACAGUAACAAAAAGGGUAACUGGCGUAGAAGAAACUGAGGGUAUGUUAGGUUAAGAGAGGGUAAAGGAGGGGUGACUUUAAAGAUAUAUAACUCAACCUUCGUAUUUCUUUUCUCGCGUUGUAGGACAGUAACAAAGAGGCUUAAGGGCAAGAACAAGGCAUUAUCGUUUAUUCUUAAAGAGUUCUGUACAUACUUCGUUCAUCUUCCGCUACACCAUUUCAAUGACGAUGACGAUGGAGACGACGACAACAACACGAUAAGGGGAUGGAGACGGAAUGGGAGAAGGAAGGGGAAUGAAGAUGGGAAUGGGGGAGGUAAAAGAAGAUGAGAGAGAGGGUUGGAAAGAGAUAGGAAUGGAAAAAGAAAGGGGGAUAAAGAUGGGAAGAUGGAAAUGUGAAAAUAGGAAAAAAUUAAUGAAGGAGAGUGAGAAAGAGAUGGGUAAGGGAAUGUCAAAACAAUAGGAGGAGGAACAGAUAAAUAUGGUGUACAUGAGAGAUGGACAAAAACAGGAUGGCUAAAAAAGGUAUAGGGAUAGAAAAAAAAGGAAAAAGAGAAGUUAAUAGGAAAACAAAAAGGGACAGAUAGACAAAAGUGAAUAACAGACAAAUGAAUGAAAAAGAAUGGUUAAAAAAGGUACAGGAAUAAAAAAGAGAUGGAAAGACCAGUAAUUAGGAAAAAAUAGAUUUAGUGUGAAUAACAUUAAAGAGGAAAGAGAACAAUAGAGGACAUGAAGUGGGAAAGGAGAGACAUAAGGUUUGCAAUCAACAUGGAGAGAGAUAGAGAAUGGGAGGAAAAGGAAGAAAAGAGACAGAAGGUUUGCAAUCAACAUGGAGAGAGAUAGAGAAUGGGAGGAAAAGGAAGAGAAGAGACAGAAGGUUUGCAAUCAACAUGGAGAGAGAUAGAUGAUGGGAGGAAAUGGAAAAGAAGACAGAAAGCUUGCAAUCAUUGGGGAAGGAGAGAUAGAUGAUAGGCGGAAGAGGAAGAAGAGAUGGAAAGUUUGCAAUCAAUGAAGGGAGACAGAUAGAUGAUGGGAGAAAAUGGAAAAAAGACAGAAAGCUUGGAAUCAUUGGGGAAGAAGAGAUAGAUGAUAGGCGGAAGAGGAAGAAGAGAUGGAAAGUUUGCAAUCAAUGAAGGGAGAGAGAUAGAUGAUGGGAGAAAAUGGAAAAGAAGAGACAGAAAGCUUGCAAUCAAUGGGAGGGAGAGAUAGAUGAUAGGCGGAAGAGGAAGAAGAGAUGGAAAGUUUGCAAUCAAUGAAGGGAGAGAGAUAGAUGAUGGGAGAAAAUGGAAAAGAAGACAGAAAGCUUGCAAUCAUUGGGGAAGGAGAGAUAGAUGAUAGGCGGAAGAGGAAGAAGAGAUGGAAAGUUUGCAAUCAAUGAAGGGAGACAGAUAGAUGAUGGGAGAAAAUGGAAAAGAGACAGAAAGCUUGGAAUCAUUGG